UACGGAGGGUGCAAGCGUUAUCCGGAUUCACUGGGUUUAAAGGGUGCGUCGGAGGGCAGGUAAGUCAGUGGUGAAAUCCCCGAGCUUAACUUGGGAACUGCCGUUGAUACUAUCUGUCUUGAAUAUCGUGGAGGUGAGCGGAAUAUGUCAUGUAGCGGUGAAAUGCUUAGAUAUGACAUAGAACACCAAUUGCGAAGGCAGCUCGCUACACGAAUAUUGACUCUGAGGCACGAAAGCGUGGGGAUCAAACAGG
rnacentral:rRNA from 1 species